GGGGCACCAAUGGGAACCUCCCAGGCAGGGUGAGAGGCAUGGCUAUUAGGAGUCCCUGUAGUGGUCCUUGACCCUGGCGGACAUCUUCCUACAUGAGGGGCUCACGGUGAAGAUUGGUGACUUUGGCUUGGCCACAGUGAAGACUCGAUGGAGCGGGGCCCAGCCCUUGGAGCAGCCCUCAGGCUCUGUGCUGUGGAUGGCAGCUGAGGUGAUCCGUAUGCAGGACCCGAACCCCUACAGCUUCCAGUCAGACGUCUAUGCCUACGGGGUUGUGCUCUACGAGCUUAUGACUGGCUCACUGCCUUACAGCCACAUUGGCUGCCGUGACCAGGUGAGCCCCACACCUUACCCACAGUUUCCUGGGCUGAGGGAUCCCCUCAGGCAUCCAUACCCCACAUCCCCUCCUUUGCACUGAUGAAUGCCACACUUUCGCCAGAAACCUAAAAUUUUCUAGGAUAAGGACUCCCAGAAUCCCUUGGGCUCCAGACACCUACAAUAAAUUCUCUGGGUCUCCCCUACCCCAACUUCCCUCUUCUCACAUCCACAGCCCUCUGGGACA
rnacentral:sRNA from 1 species